UGUACUCAAGAAAAGAAAAUGCAGAUUGUCAGAAUCCUUCAAAUUUGAUACUCAGCACUGUUAUGAUCUCUUCAUUACCGGAUAUGGAAUCUGGAUAUCAGAACUGAUAUAGUGAAGUACUCCUCUAUUAAACUGAGGACCAACCUAAAAUCAGCAAAGUAACACCGGGCCUAACACAAUCAGGAAAUCUGCGUCUCUUAGAGUGAAAAGCAGCCAACCUGUCUGUCUUCUGCCCUGUCCCAAAACCUCAAUGAAACAACUCUUUUGCAUCUCACAGC
rnacentral:lncRNA from 1 species